rnacentral:rRNA from 1 species
UACGAAGGGGGCUAGCGUUGCUCGGAAUCACUGGGCGUAAAGCGUGCGCAGGCGGUUUGUUAAGUCUGUUGUGAAAUCCCCGAGCUCAACUUGGGAAUUGCAAUGGAUACUGGCAGGCUGGAGUAUGGUAGAGGAAGGUGGAAUUCCCGGUGUAGCAGUGAAAUGCGUAGAGAUCGGGAGGAACACCAGUGGCGAAGGCGGCCUUCUGGACCAAUACUGACGCUCAUGCACGAAAGCGUGGGGAGCAAACAGG